ensembl:lncRNA
GUGCUAGCCACAUAUCCAUCACCAUUAGAAAACAAACUCUCAGGCUAUAGAACAUGUAUAUGUGAAAAAUGCAAUCCCAGAACCCCAGGCCCUUGCUGAUCACAACUGGCAGAGACUGUGAUGACGUCCAGAAGGAUGUUAGGAAUGUAUUCAGCCACACAUAACGGAACCUGACUUGGAGUGGAACAAACAGGCUUACAUCUCUCACCAAGAAUUCUGGAGAAUUGGGAAGAGAAUCUUGGGUCUUGGAACGGAGCAUGGAACUGGGUCUUGGCAAGCAGAGCAAGUCAGCUCCAGGACAUCACUGGUAUCGGGCAGAGGUCAAACAAGACUAGUUUCGAG